UUGGAAAACUCCCGAGUUUUGAUGUUUCUUUAGACGGCAGUACUGUGUUAAAUGAAAUAAAACAUGGACUGAGUGCACAAUAGCUACAUUCAAAUGCUGAAUAAAAGCGAUGGGGAUUGGAGGGGACAAAACCAAGCAAACAUAGAAACUGACCAUGAGGAGUCUGAUUAUUAAGAAUGUGUAUAUUUAUCAUACUGUCUCACAAUCAAGCAGUAUGCAUUAUUUACACUAUGUUUUUAUGGCAUUGUAAUAAGGCAAAAAAAUAUGAUAUUAUAGUUAGUUAGUUAGUAAGUAAGUAAGUAAGUAAGUAAGUAAGUAAGUAAGUAAGUAAGUAAGUAAGUAAGUAAGUAAGUAAGUAAGUAAGUAAGUAAGUAAGUAAGUAAGUAAGUAAGUAAGUAAGCCGAAGAGCAGGAGAAGCCCCACAUGCUCAAGCUUGCCAGUUUUAUUAAACAUUUUGGAAUUUUACUAUAUUAGAUUAUUACAUAUGAAUAUAUUUCAUUAGCUGCUGUCAAGUAAAUGUCAGUAGGCAGGAAAUGUAUUCAUUUAGUGAUCCAAUUUCUGUAAUAAUCUAAUAUAGUAAGAAUCUUAUGUUAGGAAAAGUAGUAAGCUGAGAUUUCAACAUACAACCAAACACCCCACUUAGUACAAUCCGGGUUCCCCCUUGUAUAAAUCAAAUCGGAUUCAACCAACACCUGUUUGACAGUCUGACCUUACACCUCGGCUUGGACGGAGCUCGGACGCGAGCACACGCUACAAACAUUUGGGUAAGUUCAAUUCAAUGAAAUAUCACGAAACAACUUUGUGUAGCUCUGCCAUUAACUUCCAAAUCAUGUCAAAGGAAAUCGUAGUAGUAGUAGUAUUAAUAAUUGAAAUGUAAUUUCUCUGUUGACUUUCAAGCAUCUGAACUGGUGAUAUCAUUGAUAGAAAAUGUAGGAAAAGGCAAAGGAAAAUCAAAACAAAGAGGGGAAGACGGCCUGCGGUGCUUUAGUCAGAAAGCGCUCCUCUGUUCAUUCGGCAGCCUGGACAGAAGACAUUGACAAAACAUAUGAUAUUUUCUGACAGUUAAGUGUGUCUUUGCUUGUGCAGUAGUUUGUUGCGGUGGCAUGAGGAGGAUUACAUGGUCUUUGCUUCAUUUAUCCAUUACCGCUUCUUCUUUCUUCAUUUUAUUCAUGUAUCUUAACAUUCCAAAUCUUCACUUAUUCCUCUCUGGGCUGCAGCCUUUUCCGUAUCUCGUUAUCUUAUCACCACCAAUGACUUCAAUCACUUCCAGGUACACAGUCAGUUUUUCGUUGGCGCAGCGGUUAGCGCUGUCGCCUCUCAUCGAGAGGGUUCCCGGUUCGAGGCUCGGCCGUGCGAUCUUUUUGCGUGGAGUUCGCAUGUUCUCCCCGGGUACCUCAGUAUAAUAUGUUUUAAAAAUGUCAUAGUGUAGUAAGGUACAGAACUUGGACAAUCUUAUAUUAUUGUUGUUGUUGUUGUUGUUGUUGUUGUUAUUUAUUUAUAUAUAUAUAUAUAUUUUUUUUUUUUUGAACAAGGCCUGUUGGUUUUGUCUUGUUUCUUCUACAGGAGUCCUUGUAAGAUGGUGGUGCUGAUACCGGAGCCGCCCAGUUAAGUGUUACCUGAUGUCAGAAGAAGAAGAAGAAGAAGAAGAAGCAUGAGUAUUUGAGAUCAACAACCAAAGUCUACAGUCCUUGGCUUGUGUGAAACGUCCAGCUGCUCAUCAACUGUGAGAUGGGGGAAGAGAAGUUUUGAUGUAUGAAUACAGAGGGUCCAAUUGGAGAUGUCUUACCUCGAAGGACUAUUUGGAGGAUCCAAUUAGGAGCGUCAACGAGGCGCAGCCCUGUGCAAUUAGGAGUGUCACCGAGGCACCGCCCAGUGAGGAGAUGCGAUUGGCUGUUCACAGGUGUGAGCAAUCAGCAGUGUGCUACUUGAGCAGCAGUGCCGCAAACACCGAAGGCACGGGUGAAGAUCUGCAGGGGCUGCUAGCUAACUCCUUUGUGUGCAAACACCGAGGACCUGCUAGCUAACUCCUUUGUGUGCAAACACCGAAGACACGGGUGAAGGCUAACUUCUUUCUCCGCAAACGAUGGCUUGGACAGCAAAAACCGAAGGCACGGGUGAAGACCUGCCCUGCUCCUUUCCUCAAACACCGAAGACACGGGUGAAGGCUAACUUCUUUCUCCGCAGGCGGCAGCCAUUGCACUCAUUGUCUCUGCCGUGUGCUUCAUGGCUCACAGCUGUGUAGGAUGAAGCAAAGACUGAAGGGUGCUCUCUGCAAACACUCUGGAGCUGUGGUGUCACCAACAAUGAAAGGUAAGUGUUGAAAAGCUGUAGGUAACACUAUCGCAAGCAUUUACCUUCUGCCUUUUCCUCCACCAGCACCAAGAGCCCCUUGCUGAUGACACCAAGCCCAUUCCUGCUCACAAACCAUGGGGGAAAGAGAAGAAGGAACCAACCAACUGCUAAUUGUGGAUCCUACCUGGAUCCACUCAAGCUGUAGAUCUGGAGGAUGAGGUGGUUUUGAACCCUCUUCAGCCACUGGACGGUGGCCAAGUAGUUCUCACUGAGGGCAGGAAAGAAAAGACAGAUCUGUCCCCUUAUCCUUUAGCUG